AGAGUUUGAUCAUGGCUCAGGAUGAACGCUAGCUACAGGCUUAACACAUGCAAGUCGAGGGGAAACGACAUCGAAAGCUUACUUUUGAUGGGCGUCGACCGGCGCACGGGUGAGUAACGCGUAUCCAACCUGCCCACCACUUGGGGAUAACCUUGCGAAAGUAAGACUAAUACCCAAUGAUAUCUCUAGAAGACAUCUGAAAGAGAUUAAGGAUUUAUCGGUGAUGGAUGGGGAUGCGUCUGAUUAGCUUGUUGGCGGGGUAACGGCCACCAAGGCGACGAUCAGUAGGGGUUCUGAGAGGAAGGUCCCCCACAUUGGAACUGAGACACGGUCCAAACUCCUACGGGAGCA
rnacentral:rRNA from 1 species